AAAAAAGCCAACUGCCACAACUCACUUCCUCCUCUCACUUCUGCACACGUUUCCUGCCGGCUUUUCUUAACCUCUUUGUAUAAGAUUUGAUUUACGGUGCUUCCAAUCUUCUGGGUCAGAUAUGUUCCUGCCUCAGUGGUGCUGUGGAUACAGUCUCUAGAAUCUAGCCAGUGGAGUAUCUGAGGUGCUGUUAAUGGACACUGCUUUUCCUGAAGAGCAGAAUGCAAGGCUGUGACAAUUGAAAGAAGUCAAAUGUGAAGUCUCUGCUUCAGGGAUCCAUUUUAGGGCAUUCUGGAAAUCUGGGGAAGCAGACUCUGCAGUUACCAUUCUCAUGAGGGCUUCACACCACCUGUCUUCUUGUUGCCGCAAACAAACUCAGAUGAAUGAAGUAGACGCCUGAAAGCCGGGAAAACUUUUCUAGUGGGCACUGAGUUCAACCCUUGCCUUUUGCCUUUUUGCGGAAGCGAAGAAAGUCAAAUUAAUGCAGUGGGCGGGGCUUUAAAUCAGCUGAUAUGGAAGCUCUGCCCACCAUGCCAGUGAUUUGUUCUCUGAUGGAUGAUCCUGCACAUAGCCACCCUUUUGGCGCAUAGUAUCUGCUUCUUAGAGAAAUGGAAUUACAAGUUUGGAGAGGGAGUGUGAUGUAAAAGAAAUGUUUACCGUAAAGGAUAUAUAUACAUAGAACUGAGGGAUGUUUUAGAUUUUGAUAGUCCAAAAUAGUUUCUAAUUAAAGCAACUUCACACAUUUUUCUAUGCUGCCUAGGCAGGAUGACAUGGGUUGUUUCACUGUCCUAUGAAAAUCAACCUUAAAGUAAAACAACUGCAAAACGAUGAAAUGUAAUUGCCAGCCCUUUUCAAGCCACGUGAAAACGAAAGUUCUAGAAAGAAGCAGCAAUUUUCACAGCCCCUGCUCCAAGACUAAUUAGCAGUGACCAUAGAGGGUUUGGAAACCUGUGAGUUUGGAACUAUCUUUAGCCCUCUUUUAAAAAAAAUUAUUUUACCUUA